CCUGGUAGCUCAGAUGGUAAAGCAUCUGCCUGUAAAGCGGGAGACCUGGGUUCAAUCCCUGGGUCAGGA
rnacentral:tRNA from 1 species